rnacentral:rRNA from 1 species
AUACGGAGGGUGCAAGCGUUGUUCGGAAUUAUUGGGCGUAAAGAGCAUGUAGGCGGACUGUUAAGUCUGGUGUGAAAGCCCGGGGCUCAACCCCGGAAGUGCAUUGGAUACUGGCAGUCUUGAGUAUGGGAGAGGAAAGUGGAAUUCCGAGUGUAGGAGUGAAAUCCGUAGAUAUUCGGAGGAACACCAGUGGCGAAGGCGGCUUUCUGGACCAAUACUGACGCUGAGAUGCGAAAGCGUGGGGAGUGAACAGGAUUAGAAACCCUAGUAGUCC